GUUAAUGUAGCUUACAAUAAAGCAAGGCACUGAAAAUGCCUAGACGAGUAGUUUACUCCAUAAACA
rnacentral:tRNA from 2 species